rnacentral:tRNA from 1 species
GGUCCAGUAGUGUAGUGGUUAACAUGUCGGUCUGUCACACCGAAGAUCGCGGGUUCAAGUCCCGUCUGGACCGCCA